UGUAUCUCUAACAAUAAGGAGCAGUAGAAAAUGGGGAAUCAAAUAAUAAUCAACUGCUACCGUAAUGCAGAUCUGAGGUAUUUCUAUCGAUCCCAAUAUGAAGAUUGCAAAGGAUUUAAAAGUUUAUAGACAUCAUCUAGAUAACUUCAUAAUCACACAAGGAGAAUAACUACAAAACAAAAUUUGAAGAGGAGUCCAAGGCAUUUUCUGGUUCCAUACUUUUUUCAUUCUCCUGUUGGAUACCAUUUCUCCUGUCUGAUCCAAUGCUGAGCUCAGUGGUAAUGAAGUGCCACAUUGUGAAAGGGGAGCCUAGAACGGGGCUGCCAGAGAGACAGUCUGUAAUUGAAAGUUCUUUCAAGAGAAGGACUUCUAUCAGGUCUGCUGAGGGAAUAGGAGCUCCACCUGCUGACUUUUUUAUGUUUGCUGACUCUGAAAGAAUGCAAAACAUGAAGAAAUUGAAUGGUGUUAUUUCUUUUGUAAUUUCUCAGUGGAAAUAUUGUUUUCAAAAUUAUUGAUAAGAUGUACCAGUCUAACCAGGGCUUUCAAGAAGAAAAUGCAAUCUAUAGCUUGUUUUAAGAGUGGGGAUUAUGUUGGCUUCCCUGGGCCAGUCUAAAUAAUUACUUUAAUCUGGAACAACAUAUAAAUUCAUAAAUUGUUGCCACCACGACUCUUAGGGAAUCCUCGACUUUUCAAACAUUGCCUCUCUCAGCCAUAAAUUUACACUGCGCCACUCGCCCAUGUGUGUUUUGUUUUAAGAAGCUGUAGUCUCUUGUUACAUGUAGUUUGGAAGAAAUGCUAGAUGUUUUUGAUCUAAAGAAGAAAGAUCAAGUCCUAGUCAAACUUUAGUAUUUUAAAGGGCAUAGACAUUAUUUGAGUAUAUGUCGUCUGCGUUUCAGAAAGAAGCUAUGCAGUUUUGUAUAAAAGCCACAUAAAACCAUAAA
rnacentral:lncRNA from 1 species